GAUGAACGCUGGCGGCGUGCCUAAUACAUGCAAGUCGAGCGAACGGACGAGAAGCUUGCUCCUCUGAUGUUAGCGGCGGACGGGUGAGUAACACGUGGAUAACCUACCUAUAAGACUGGGAUAACUUCGGGAAACCGGAGCUAAUACCGGAUAAUAUUUUGAACCGCAUGGUUCAACAGUGAAAGACGGUCUUGCUGUCACUUAUAGAUGGAUCCGCGCUGCAUUAGCUAGUUGGUAAGGUAACGGCUUACCAAGGCAACGAUGCAUAGCCGACCUGAGAGGGUGAUCGGCCACACUGGAACUGAGACACGGUCCAGACUCCUACGGGAGGCAGCAGUAGGGAAUCUUCCGCAAUGGGCGAAAGCCUGACGGAGCAACGCCGCGUGAGUGAUGAAGGUCUUCGGAUCGUAAAACUCUGUUAUUAGGGAAGAACAAAUGUGUAAGUAACUAUGCACAUCUUGACGGUACCUAAUCAGAAAGCCACGGCUAACUACGUG
rnacentral:rRNA from 1 species